UCGCUCAAAAUCAAACACGCUAAACAGCAAAGCGCGCUCUCGACUAUCACGCGCGUUUGUUAGACGCGCUCUCGACUAGCACGCGCGUCUAACAAACGCCAUCCAUUUUACUUUAAAACAAAGAUGGCUACAUCAGGAAACUCGCGGGAGAAUUCAAAUGGUUCAAUCCAUUUGAGAGUACAGUGUCGCCCAGCAGCAAGAUGCAGAAUGCCUGGCUAACAAACAGCUCAAUUAGCUACCUACAGUUAAGCAGCUACUUACUUAUCGAUGAUUGAACAUGGUAUAUGGAGAUGGCAAAUUUAAAUAACUACUGGAGUAUUACUACAGGUGACGCUAUUCCCAACAAUACCGACCAAAAAAACAAGUGCGAAAGAGCGUGAGAGGUACGGAGAUCAAGAACUAUGGCCAUCAUAGGAAAACUGUGAACAGGGCCAACAAGUUUCUGUGGUCGUGCAACUUUUAAAUCUGUGGAGACAGACGAAGAAUGGCUGGCCUACAAGCAAAAUGGUCCGUGGAUGCUACUUCCUGGCCAAAGUGGAAGGCACGUCGUUACGGCAGAAGACAGCUUUCCAUCAAGUAAAUAGGCCGAUCAUAUACACGACACAAAACAAAUGGCGUCUGGAACAGGAGCUACACGCCCGCAGCAUCACCUACCUGCUUUUGCUUCGAAAGGAGAGACGACGGGUCUCUCCGACACGGCUGCAGCCAUCUGGUCUCCCCACAGCUCCCCCUGCUGUUCUCCGAGGGUCACUGCGCCCCCGGCUGAAGAACGCUCGCUGCCACGCCCGCCACGCCCUCCCUCACAGGGCGG